rnacentral:rRNA from 1 species
CAUCAGCCGCGGUAAUACCGGCGGCCCGAGUGGCGGUCACUAUUAUUGGGCUUAAAGCGUCCGUAGCCGGGUUGGGAAGUCCUCCGGGAAAUCUGGCCGCUUAACGGUCAGAAUGCCGGAGGAUACUCCCAGCCUAGGGAGCGGGAGAGGCCGAGGGGAUUCCCGGAGUAGGGGGGAAAUCCUAUAAUCCCGGGAGGACCACCUGUGGCGAAGGCGCUCGGCUGGAACGCGUCCGACGGUGAGGGACGAAGGCCAGGGGAGCAAACCGGAUUAGAUACCCGGGUAGUCCUGGCUGUAAACGAUGCGGACUUUGUGUCGGACAAGCUAUGAGCUUGUCCGGUGCCGGAGGGAAACCGUUAAGUCCGCCGCCUGGGGAGUACGGCCGCAAGGCUGAAACUUAAAGGAAUUGGCGGG